GUUGCAUAAGCGCUGUGGCGGGCUCGCACCUGCGUGACCCGGGCAGAGGAGCCUAAAACCUCCACUGUGACUAAGGCAGAACAAAACCCGUCCAGGAUAAGGCCGCGAGUUAGUUUUUAACGCGACACGUCCUCCCAGCGGGAGUACCUGCCCUGAGUUGGGCACCCGAGCCUUGGCACCGAUCGAGCAUUUGUGACAGCAGGCUUUAUUUUCAUCAUGUUAAGGAGAAUUAAUAAGAUUCCCCUCAACGUCAGUUUGCUGGUCUGUCUCGUGUUAUGCAACGCAGAGGAAACUGGGAGCUUUCAGAUUGUUAAACUAAGGCAGCAAAUAUGUUUAAAAUGUUACAUAAGUAUAUGAUGAUACAGGAAUGAUUAUUAGUGGGGCCUGUUUCUCUGUAACACCACUUAGCUUGUGAAGGGUUCCUGUAAAGAGGAACAGUUUGGGCUUGGCCUUCUGUCACAUCUGAGUGCAUGUGCAGGGUCAUAGGACAGCAUGUAGGUUGAGGCACUGAUUCUGACCUUUAGCUUGCAAAUUCUCCCAAAGAGCAACUUUUUUGUGGUUACCCUUAGUGUGGUGUUCCAAGGAGUCUGAAUGAGGCAAAAAAAUCUCAAACCUAUUUUCCUGUUAAAGCCUUUAAUGUAAUUAGAACUGAGGGUUCACUAGGAGAUACAGCGAGCACAUAUGUCCACAGUUGGACUGAGUAUUUGGACUCCCAGGCUCCUGAGAUAAAUUCGUGGCAAAGUUAGUAACUGGGAAACCCAGAAGUAUGGUCAGGAUUUUCAACAGCCUCUCUGAGCAGAGAAUAAACAGUGCUUUUUAAUCAGUCCCAGUGCUAUGACCUUGCAGUAGCUGCCCAAGCUUAACUUAGAAACUACUAGAGAACAGGAAAAAAAUGCACUCAGAAAAUGUGAAUUUAAUAUUAAGAAUUUAUGAUGGACAAAGAUUGCAGUAUUUCACUGUCAGUGGAAGAUUGUUCUUAUUGUAUGAUGUUUAGUCUUAUUUCUAACCAAUUUACUUUUGUUAGAAUGUUGAGAUACCUUCAGGUGACUUACUGUUAAGUUAUAAAUUAAUCCCCACUCUGUUUGUCACAAUUCAUUUUUUCCAAGGUUGUCAAAAAAAAGACCAACCCAACCCUUCUGUUUGUUAUAUGUCUGUGUUUGUUUACAUAGUCUCUUGUAAUUCUACUUCAGAAUCAGUUGUUGGCAAGGUAGAUAACACAGCCACAAAGAAGAUUUUUUUUUUUGCAAUUUAUAUUUUUUAUUUUAAUAAGCAAAAGUUGUAACUAGAAACAGUAGUCGAGAGUUUUUUAAA